GACGAACGCUGGCGGCGUGCCUAACACAUGCAAGUCGAACGGGACCAGGGGCAACUCUGGUUCAGUGGCGGACGGGUGCGUAACACGUGAGGAACAUGACUUUCGGCGGGGGAUAGCCGGCCCAACGGCCGGGUAAUACCGCGUACGACCUCUCGGGGACAUCCCCGGUUGGUGAAAGCAGCAAUGCACCGAAAGAGUGCCUCGCGGCCUAUCAGCUAGUUGGUGGGGUAACGGCUCACCAAGGCGACGACGGGUAGCUGGUCUGAGAGGAUGGCCAGCCACAUUGGGACUGAGACACGGCCCAGACUCCUACGGGAGGCAGCAGUGGGGAAUAUUGCGCAAUGGGCGAAAGCCUGACGCAGCGACGCCGCGUGUGGGAUGACGGCCUUCGGGUUGUAAACCACUGUCGGGAGGGACGAAUGCGCCGCAAGGCGAGUG
rnacentral:rRNA from 1 species